AAUAGAUACCCGGGUAGUCCACGCCGUAAACGAUGAGUGCUAAGUGUUAGGGGGUUUCCGCCCCUUAGUGCUGCAGCUAACGCAUUAAGCACUCCGCCUGGGGAGUACGGUCGCAAGACUGAAACUCAAAGGAAUUGACGGGGGCCCGCACAAGCGGUGGAGCAUGUGGUUUAAUUCGAAGCAACGCGAAGAACCUUACCAGGUCUUGACAUCCCAUUGACCGCUAUGGAGACAUAGCUUUCCCUUCGGGGACAGUGGUGACAGGUGGUGCAUGGUUGUCGUCAGCUCGUGUCGUGAGAUGUUGGGUUAAGUCCCGCAACGAGCGCAACCCUUGUUCUUAGUUGCCAUCAUUUAGUUGGGCACUCUAAGGAGACUGCCGGUGACAAACCGGAGGAAGGUGGGGAUGACGUCAAAUCAUCAUGCCCCUUAUGACCUGGGCUACACACGUGCUACAAUGGACGGUACAAACGGUUGCCAACCCGCGAGGGGGAGCUAAUCCGAUAAAACCGUUCUCAGUUCGGAUUGUAGGCUGCAACUCGCCUACNGU
rnacentral:rRNA from 1 species